CACAAAACUUCUUCUGGCCCAAUUUUAACCGAGAUGUGCGGGUUUAUUGUAGCACGUGUGACACCUGUCAACGGGUAGGUAAGCAGGGGGAUCACCCAAAAGCUAGGCUUCAGUCGAUGCCUAUCAUUGGAGAACCCUUUUCCCGCAUAGCCGUUGACAUUGUGGGUCCACUGGCCAGGGCUAGCCCACCAGGUAAGAAGUAUAUUCUCACCGUGGUGGACUAUGCCACACGUUAUC